AUUAAUUUGAAAAAUUGUUAAAAAAUUCGCUCAGACAUAUUUACUUAAAUUCUUUUUUACUGGCAAAUAUGCGAAAAUCUAAUAUCAUUAUCUCACAUAAAAAAAAAUAUAUUACCCAUGUACACUACCUACUAUAAAAGCUUGCCACUUAUCUUCCCGCUACUGGAGAGUUAUGUCGAAGCCAACAGUAGCAAAACUGGAAGCUGCUCCUAACCAAUAAUAAAAAAUAAGGAUAAGACGUAAAGAAGAAAUUUCUUAAAGAUGUACACAAAGGAACUUUCUCGUGUGUUCCAUCAUGGUCUGGUAAGGGCAUCUUAAGAGGAGCAACGUCCUAACCCAUUUAUAUCUGCUUCGUGUAUUAAAAGGAUGAUAUGUGCUUUUCGCUCCCUCAUACAUCACAAUUAACUGAUGACAUUGGGUACACACAAAAAAUCAAUCCAUUAUG